rnacentral:rRNA from 1 species
GACGAACGCUGGCGGCGUGCCUAAUACAUGCAAGUCGAACGCAGUGGGGACGGGUGAGUAACACGUGGGUAACCUCCCAUCAGAGGGGAUAACACUUGGAAACAGGUGCUAAACCGAUACUGAUGGAUGAACCCGAGGUGCAUUAGCUAGUAUGUGAGGUAACGGCGCACCAAGGCUACGAUGCAUAGCGGGUCUGAGAGGGUGACCAGCCACACUGGAACUGAGACACGGCCCAGACUCCUACGGGAGGCAGCAGUGGGGAAUCUUCGACAAUGGACGAAAGUCUUACCGAGCAACGCCGCGGGAGUGAAGAAGGUUUUCGGGUCGUAAAACACUUUUGUUAGAGAAGCGGUAUCUAACCAGAAAGCCACGGCUAACUACGUGCCAGCAGCCGCGGUAAUUC